rnacentral:tRNA from 1 species
GGCCUCGUAGCUCAGUUUGGAUAGAGCGACAGCCUUCUAAGCUGAAGGUCGAGAGUUCAAAUCUCUUCGGGGCCGCCA